rnacentral:rRNA from 1 species
GAUGAACGCUGGCGGCGUGCCUAAUACAUGCAAGUCGAGCGAACGGACGAGAAGCUUGCUUCUCUGAUGUUAGCGGCGGACGGGUGAGUAACACGUGGAUAACCUACCUAUAAGACUGGGAUAACUUCGGGAAACCGGAGCUAAUACCGGAUAAUAUUUUGAACCGCAUGGUUCAAAAGUGAAAGACGGUCUUGCUGUCACUUAUAGAUGGAUCCGCGCUGCAUUAGCUAGUUGGUAAGGUAACGGCUUACCAAGGCAACGAUGCAUAGCCGACCUGAGAGGGGGUGCGCCCACAGUGGAAGGGAGACCGGCCCCGGCCCCCGGCGGGGGGCGCCAGGAGGGACUCUCCCGAAAGGGGCGAGGGCCGGACGGCGCACCCCGGGGUGAGUAAUAAAGUUCUUGGGAUCGUAAAACUUUUUUAUUGGGGAAAAACAUAUGUGUAAGAACCUGUGCACAUCUGGACGGUACCUAAUAAAAACGCCCCGGCAAACUCCGUC